CACGUAGGGUGCGAGCGUUGUCCGGAAUUAUUGGGCGUAAAGAGCUCGUAGGCGGUGUGUCGCGUCGGCCGUGAAAACCUGCAGCUUAACUGUGGGCUUGCGGUCGAUACGGGCGGGCUAGAGUUCGGUAGGGGAGACUGGAAUUCCUGGUGUAGCGGUGAAAUGCGCAGAUAUCAGGAGGAACACCGGUGGCGAAGGCGGGUCUCUGGGCCGAUACUGACGCUGAGGAGCGAAAGCGUGGGGAGCGAACAGG
rnacentral:rRNA from 1 species